ensembl:lncRNA
AAGAGGUAAUAUGGAGAGGGAGAGGUAAUACGGAGAGGUAAUACGGAGAGGGAGAGGUAAUACGGAGAGGUAAUACGGAGAGGGAGAGGUAAUACGGAGUGGGAGAGGUAAAACGGAGAGGUAAGAGGGAGAGGUAAUACGGAGAGAGGGGUAAUACGGAGAGGUAAUACGGAGAGGUGAGAGGUAAUACGGAGAGGGAGGUCCUUCUCUGCUGCCAAUGACUGGAACGAACUACAAAAAUCUCUGAAACUGGAAACACUUAUCUCCCUCACUAGCUUUAAGCACCAGCUGUCAGAGUAGCUCACAGAUUACUGCACCUGUACAUAGCCCAUCUAUAAUUUAGCCCAAACAACUACCUCUUCCCCUACUGUAUUUAUUUAUUUAGCUCCUU